CGGGCGUUAAGUUGCAGGGUAUAGACCCGAAACCCGGUGAUCUAGCCAUGGGCAGGUUGAAGGUUGGGUAACACUAACUGGAGGACCGAACCGACUAAUGUUGAAAAAUUAGCGGAUGACCUGUGGCUGGGGGUGAAAGGCCAAUCAAACCGGGAGAUAGCUGGUUCUCCCCGAAAGCUAUUUAGGUAGCGCCUCGUGAAUUCAUCUCCGGGGGUAGAGCACUGUUUCGGCUAGGGGGCCAUCCCGGCUUACCAACCCGAUGCAAACUGCGAAUACCGGAGAAUGUUAUCACGGGAGACACACGGCGGGUGCUAACGUCCGUCGUGAAGAGGGAAACAACCCAGACCGCCAGCUAAGGUCCCAAAGUCAUGGUUAAGUGGGAAACGAUGUGGGAAGGCCCAGACAGCCAGGAUGUUGGCUUAGAAGCAGCCAUCAUUUAAAGAAAGCGUAAUAGCUCACUGGUCGAGUCGGCCUGCGCGGAAGAUGUAACGGGGCUAAACCAUGCACCGAAGCUGCGGCAGCGACACUGUGUGUUGUUGGGUAGGGGAGCGUUCUGUAAGCCUGUGAAGGUGUGUCGUGAGGCAUGCUGGAGGUAUCAGAAGUGCGAAUGCUGACAUAAGUAACGAUAAAGCGGGUGAAAAGCCCGCUCGCCGGAAGACCAAGGGUUCCUGUCCAACGUUAAUCGGGGCAGGGUGAGUCGACCCCUAAGGCGAGGCCGAAAGGCGUAGUCGAUGGGAAACGGGUUAAUAUUCCCGUACUUGGUGUUACUGCGAAGGGGGGACGGAGAAGGCUAUGUUGGCCGGGCGACGGUUGUCCCGGUUUAAGCGUGUAGGUGUGUGUUCCAGGUAAAUCCGGUUCACUUUAACACUGAGGCGUGACGACGAGGCACUACGGUGCUGAAGCAACAAAUGCCCUGCUUCCAGGAAAAGCCUCUAAGCAUCAGGUAACAUCAAAUCGUACCCCAAACCGACACAGGUGGUCAGGUAGAGAAUACCAAGGCGCUUGAGAGAACUCGGGUGAAGGAACUAGGCAAAAUGGUGCCGUAACUUCGGGAGAAGGCACGCUGACACGUAGGUGAAGUGAUUUACUCAUGGAGCUGAAGUCAGUCGAAGAUACCAGCUGGCUGCAACUGUUUAUUAAAAACACAGCACUGUGCAAACACGAAAGUGGACGUAUACGGUGUGACGCCUGCCCGGUGCCGGAAGGUUAAUUGAUGGGGUCAGCGCAAGCGAAGCUCCUGAUCGAAGCCCCGGUAAACGGCGGCCGUAACUAUAACGGUCCUAAGGUAGCGAAAUUCCUUGUCGGGUAAGUUCCGACCUGCACGAAUGGCGUAAUGAUGGCCAGGCUGUCUCCACCCGAGACUCAGUGAAAUUGAACUCGCUGUGAAGAUGCAGUGUACCCGCGGCAAGACGGAAAGACCCCGUGAACCUUUACUAUAGCUUGACACUGAACAUUGAGCCUUGAUGUGUAGGAUAGGUGGGAGGCUUUGAAGUGUGGACGCCAGUCUGCAUGGAGCCGACCUUGAAAUACCACCCUUUAAUGUUUGAUGUUCUAACGUGGACCCGUUACCCGGGUUGCGGACAGUGUCUGGUGGGUAGUUUGACUGGGGCGGUCUCCUCCUAAAGAGUAACGGAGGAGCACGAAGGUUGGCUAAUCCUGGUCGGACAUCAGGAGGUUAGUGCAAUGGCAUAAGCCAGCUUGACUGCGAGCGUGACGGCGCGAGCAGGUGCGAAAGCAGGUCAUAGUGAUCCGGUGGUUCUGAAUGGAAGGGCCAUCGCUCAACGGAUAAAAGGUACUCCGGGGAUAACAGGCUGAUACCGCCCAAGAGUUCAUAUCGACGGCGGUGUUUGGCACCUCGAUGUCGGCUCAUCACAUCCUGGGGCUGAAGUAGGUCCCAAGGGUAUGGCUGUUCGCCAUUUAAAGUGGUACGCGAGCUGGGUUUAGAACGUCGUGAGACAGUUCGGUCCCUAUCUGCCGUGGGCGCUGGAGAACUGAGGGGGGCUGCUCCUAGUACGAGAGGACCGGAGUGGACGCAUCACUGGUGUUCGGGUUGUCAUGCCAAUGGCACUGCCCGGUAGCUAAAUGCGGAAGAGAUAAGUGCUGAAAGCAUCUAAGCACGAAACUUGCCCCGAGAUGAGUUCUCCC
rnacentral:rRNA from 1 species